rnacentral:lncRNA from 1 species
AUGGAAAAGAGAGGAUGUGAUAAAGAUUCCUAUGGAAUUGAAAGCGGUUAUUCAAUUAUUUACUGUCUUCAAUGCCUGAAGUAUUAUUAGUUUCCAGGUGUGCUUCAGAAAUCAACAAUAAGCAAUGAAUUUGUCCUUUAGCAAAAAAUAUGAGUAAUGCAUUUGCCGUAUGCAUAUAACUUGCAUGUUUUAUGUACAAGUAAAAAGAUUUAGUAAUUUAACCUGUGUGGCGAAGUAUAUGUUUUUGUUUUCAAUAAUUGUUCUAUUGCUUUGAGGGAAUGAUACUUUCGACCUGUUACAGGUUGUCAGUGAAAAUGUCACUGUAAAGGACUCCACAGGAAAGAAACUUGAAUCACAGAUUCUACCCCUGCUUAAUGCAUCUGUCAUUCUGUCGGCAUAAGAAAUGACCGUGUUAAGGCAUAGCUGGUCAUAGCUCCGAAUGUGACUCCAGGUUAUUGGCUUGCAUUUUCAGCAACUGUGCUGCCUCUUGGUUUUAGCACUUGCAUUGUCUCAAGUGCCUCCACACAGACAGGCUACUACUUCAGAGAGACGUACAGUGUACAAGACUGAAACAAGUCAAAAUGAUACAAUCAAAGUCGGGCCAGGAAACUUGAAACUCAUUUACUCUGGAAAUGAUGGAAAACUAACUCAGUACAAGAAGUCAAGAACAGCAGAAGCUCAGUAUAUAAUUUGGUUCACACGCAUGUAGAUUUAGCUCUCUCCAAUUCCUGUUCUUCU